rnacentral:rRNA from 1 species
GUGCCAGCAGCCGCGGUAAUACGAAGGGGGCAAGCGUUGUUCGGAAUGACUGGGCGUAAAGGGCGCGUAGGCGGUGCGUUGCGUCAGAUGUGAAAUCCCCGGGCUCAACCUGGGAAUGGCAUUUGAUACGGGCGUACUGGAAUCCGUGAGAGGUUGGUGGAAUUCCCAGUGUAGAGGUGAAAUUCGUAGAUAUUGGGAAGAACACCAGUGGCGAAGGCGGCCAACUGGCACGGUAUUGACGCUGAGGCGCGAAAGCGUGGGGAGCAAACAGGAUUAGAUACCCUGGUAGUCC